AUCGGGUGUAACAGCAACUCCAUGUGGACUGUGCUCGGAUUCCAGUGGAGCUGCUGUUAUUUCUGAU
ensembl:miRNA Mir194-1 microRNA 194-1